GCAACUAUAUGGUUUGUAGCGUGACUUAUAAAUACCUCCUUCGUUGCCUGUUUGUCGUGAAUAUCCAAAAUAAAGCUUUAUGAUGCUCUUCGUGACAUAAUAUUGAAUACCACAACCUCUACUUUUGACGAGUCAAAGGGUCAUUAUUUAACGGUCGUGUUGGUAUUCAACGUCUAAAACCGAUCCGUUAUGAAAAAUAAAUCUUAAGGUAAAUAUUUAGUUUAAACAUAUUUAUUUUACAACGAUUGUGAAACAAGUUACUACAACAUUAUAUUAAUAUCUUUCGUUGGCACGAUUUUACGCGAGAGUGUGGUCUUGUGUUGUGGGGGAAACCGGAGAUCCCGGAGAAAACCCACUUGUCCGGCUUGGUGACCACAUACCAAACUUACAUGCGCCCAAGCCGGGAAACGAACCCGACCGGGUCGCCUAGGUGAGAAGCGAGUGCGCUAACCACUGCGCUAACCGGACAACCAAGAAUUUGUCAAGAUGAUGACAAGCUCUUGAGGUCCAUGGCGUUUGAAUGCAGUUUGUAUAAGCACCACGAAUGUUAAGAAUGCAUGCCAAGUGUUCUCAAAGACAAACUAUGGGACUUUAAUAUAGUUAGUUCAAUUUGUUACUCAGUGCUGCAUUAUGUACUCAAUAUCAUUCAUAAAAAAAUAAGCAUUCAUGCUUGCAAUAUGAAUAUUGUAUUCUCUACAUUCAUCUUACUUUUAACUGAUUUUGAGCUGUGGGAAAUGCACUUUGUAUAAUUAACAAAACACAACUGUGUCAAGCAGUACUACAAAUAACAUUCGAUAUAGUUAUUUGUACGAAACGCAUAAUUAUUAUAAAUACUUUAACAGACGAAGAAGAUUCAGAAGAAUUAGAAAAAGCAAUAACACUAGCAGUAGCAGCAGUUUUAAUAGUAUAAUAUCUCGAUGGUGUUGAAAGCAUUUACGUUUUUAACAAAGAUUAACAACAUUUUAGUUGUUUUUAUUUGAUAUUUUGUCGUAAAUAUAUUCUUAUUGUGGCA